GCUGGCGGNAGGCCUUACACUUGCCAAGUCGGGCGGUAACAGGGAUAGCUUGCUAUCUGCUGACGAGCGGCGGACGGGUGAGUAAUGCAUAGGAAUCUGCCUGGUAGUGGGGGAUAGCCCAGAGAAAUUUGGAUUAAUACCGCAUACGCCCUACGGGGGAAAGCUGGGGACCUUCGGGCCUAGCGCUAUCAGAUGAGCCUAUGUCGGAUUAGCUUGUUGGUGAGGUAACGGCUCACCAAGGCGACGAUCCGUAGCUGGUCUGAGAGGAUGAUCAGCCACACCGGGACUGAGACACGGCCCAGACUCCUACGGGAGGCAGCAGUGGGGAAUAUUGGACAAUGGGCGCAAGCCUGAUCCAGCCAUGCCGCGUGUGUGAAGAAGGCCUUCGGGUUGUAAAGCACUUUCAGCGAGGAGGAAAGGGGUGUUGCUAAUAUCAAUGCCCUGUGACGUUACUCGCAGAAGAAGCACCGGCUAACUCCGUGCCAGCAGCCGCGGUAAU
rnacentral:rRNA from 1 species